AAGAACAAGAAAAGAAAAUGAAGCAGCUAAAGAAAGAAAGUUAUACAUUAUUAUGUGAUUGAUGCUUCUCUUGAAUUAAAGGGUCCUUACUGAUUUAACAGUGUCGAUGUAUGCUUUCAAUGCUGAUUCUGGACACCAAACGAGCUUCAUGGUGUGUGACCGUGUGUGAGUGAGUCUUUCUUUUUAUUUCUUUCUCUCUAGCUGUGAACAGUUAUAUAUCUUCACUUUCUGAGUUUUUUUGGAUAUCGUGUGAGGGGGUGAUUAAUAGAGAUAGUGAGGGGACACUUUGAUGUACCGGGUAGAGUUAGG
rnacentral:lncRNA from 1 species